UCGUUCUUUCUGAUUGUCUAUCAGUCUAAAGGUGGAAUGUGGUAUUAAGAGAAAAUUUCAUUUCUAUGACUUGCUGAAAACUAGACUAGAACCGAGAAGUGAACCUGGGGUCCUUGUCAGAUACUACUGUCGCUGACACUCCAUGUAACCACUACUGUCACCGACACUCUAUGUAACCUGACUAUCUCUCGAAUAUACAUUCUUACUAACUUAUCCAAGGGAUCGGUCAUCUUGAU
rnacentral:lncRNA from 1 species